rnacentral:rRNA from 1 species
GAUGAACGCUCGCGGCAGGCCUAAUACAUGCAAGUCGAACGGGAUCCAGAUCAAAGCUUGCUUUGGUCUGGUGAGAGUGGCGCACGGGUGCGUAACGCGUGAGCAACCUACCCUUGUCAGGGGGAUAGCCCGGCGAAAGUCGGAUUAAUACCGCAUGACAUCAUUGAGAGGCAUCUUUCGAUGAUCAAAGAUUUAUCGGACACGGAUGGGCUCGCGUGACAUUAGCUAGUUGGUAAGGUAACGGCUUACCAAGGCUGCGAUGUCUAGGGGCUCUGAGAGGAGAUACCCCCACACGUGUACUGAGACACGGACCAGACUCCUACGGGAGGCAGCAGUAAGGAAUAUAGGACAAUGGAAGGAAGUCUGAACCAGCCAUGCCGCGUGCAGGAAGACGGCCCUAUGGGUUGUAAACGUCUGUGAGACGGGAACAAACGUCGGUACGUGUACCGGUCUGAGUGGACCGGAAGAAAAAGGAUCGGCUAACUCCGUG